rnacentral:lncRNA from 1 species
CCGAAUUCAACGUGACUCCUCAAGGGCCGACCAAGGAAUCAACAGUUGUAGCUCCCACUAAAGAACCCGAAGUGGUUCAAUCCGAAGAUGCUGUUGAAUUCUUGAAGUUGAUCAAGAAAAGUGACUACAAGGUUGUGGACCAGUUGCAUCAAACACCAUCUAAGAUCUCUAUUCUGUCUCUGCUAUUGAACUCCCAAGCCCAUAGGGAGGCUUUGUUGAAGG